CCUUAAUAUCAGGCCUGUCUCCAGGAACCAUCGUCCUCUUACAUCCUGUUUUAGAAGAAAAUCAAUCACUUGGUACCGGAAGUUCUGGUUUGCCGGUUGUUGGCUGGAGGUUGUGGGCUGCCAAAUUCAAGCACUGGAACAAAAUAUCUGAGCAGUAAAAUAGAAGCAGAAAUGGAAAGAAAAACUUCAGCUGGGACAGAAGAUUCGGGCCGUGUGAAAGGGGAAAGAUUGUACCUAGAAAGAAGCUGACUCCUCCAAAAAGACAUCCAUGGUCUGCUGGUCCCAGUUCAUCUGGUUCCUAAACUCCUCUAGCUUCUGUUUGGUCUUGAA